UACAUUUAAAAAGAAUUAGCAGCAUGUUUUCCGAUAAACAUUAUAUUUUUCUCUCGUGCCAAACCACGCCCCCAGUACGUGACCUUUGCUCAAACUUGCUAUGACUCAACGUCAACGUUCACUUUUUAUUGCGGGAGAAACAAUUUGAGAAGAACAGGCGUGUUGUUCAUCACGCGGCCGAAGAAAAAUCUUUAGCAGCUAAGUUACAGAUUUUACAGAAAAUCUAGAGGCAGCACGUGGGCGAUAAUAAUCCAGACGGAGGAAUAUAUGAUCUACCUUGAGAGGAAACUUCAUGCAGUGUAGAUACUGCAAAUACAGUUGUGCCAGUCAAAAUCUGCUGCUGAGACACUGCAGGCUAAAGCACUGGCACCCAGGCCGACGUGAACCAUUGUUGUGCCUGUACCCUGAGUGUGUCUGCUCUUUCAAAACACCAGACAACAGAUAUCUUAUCACACAGACACGCUACAGCUUUACGGGGACUCCCCUUGUACCUCGGAGUGUGAUGCAAUAUCAAAGACUUGUCUGGACACUGAUUUGAAAGAAAACUACACAAGAGGUGUGAAAUUGUGCAUCCUUGAAGUCAUGGAGGACCAUAUCUUACAGACAACAAAGACAUGUCUAAACUUCGCCAUCAUUCUUGAGGAAACCGUCGUCA